AUUGAACGCUGGCGGCAUGCCUUACACAUGCAAGUCGAACGGCAGCACGGGAGCAAUCCUGGUGGCGAGUGGCGAACGGGUGAGUAAUAUAUCGGAACGUGCCCAGUAGUGGGGGAUAGCCCGGCGAAAGCCGGAUUAAUACCGCAUACGACCUGUGGGUGAAAGCGGGGGAUCGCAAGACCUCGCGCUAUUGGAGCGGCCGAUAUCAGAUUAGCUAGUUGGUGGGGUAAAAGCCCACCAAGGCGACGAUCUGUAGCUGGUCUGAGAGGACGACCAGCCACACUGGGGCUGAGACACGGCCCAGACUCCUACGGGAGGCAGCAGUGGGGAAUUUUGGACAAUGGGCGCAAGCCUGAUCCAGCCAUGCCGCGUGUGGGAAGAAGGCC
rnacentral:rRNA from 1 species